AAGUCGUAACAAGGUUUCCGUAGGUGAACCUGCGGAAGGAUCAUUAUUGAAACUUCAUCCGGGGCGCCGCGGCCCUCAGCACCGGUGGAAACGCCGUGAUGCGGGGGCUGCGCGUGCACUCGUCCAAACCAAACCCCUGUGAACUUUACGGGAUGGCCCAGGUUAGCGCCUGGUGCUGUUCCGCUUUAUACAAACACUUAUUCAAAGAAUGAACUUGAAGGCGGUCUGACCGCUGGAUAACAAACUGAAACAACUUUCAACAACGGAUCUCUUGGCUCUC
rnacentral:misc_RNA from 1 species